AUUAGACUAUUAGACCAUAACAAGUCAACAAACAACCACUAAAAUGAAUAGAGUAGGAAAUUGGUUUUUAUAGUUUUAUUAGACUAUUAGACCAUAACAAGUAAACUAACAACCACUCAAAUGAAUGCAUAUACUAAAAAAAUGUGAAAAAACAACAUAAAUUUUUUAUUGAUGUCAUUUUAGAGAAUGGGAGUAAUAGUGUGUGAAAGAGUAAGAGAGUUAAGAAAUAAUAAAGUAGUAAAGGGAGGUGGGGGUGCAAAAAGUGAGAUGAAGUAAUAAUUAAAAAAAAAAAGAAAAAAAAAGAA